rnacentral:rRNA from 1 species
UACGUAGGGUGCGAGCGUUAAUCGGAAUUACUGGGCGUAAAGCGUGCGUAGGCGGUUCGUUAAGUUCGUUGGGAAAGCCCCGGGCUCAACCUGGGAACUGCAAUGGAAACUGGCGGGCUUGAGUGUGGCAGAGGGGGGUGGAAUUCCGGGUGUAGCAGUGAAAUGCGUAGAGAUGCGGAGGAACACCGAUGGCGAAGGCAGCCCCCUGGGCCAACACUGACGCUAAGGCACGAAAGCGUGGGGAGCAAACAGG